rnacentral:rRNA from 1 species
CCUACGGGAGGCAGCAGUGGGGAAUAUUGGACAAUGGGCGAAAGCCUGAUCCAGCCAUGCCGCGUGUGUGAAGAAGGUCUUCGGAUUGUAAAGCACUUUAAGUUGGGAGGAAGGGCAGUUACUUUGCUGUUUUGACGUUACCGACAGAAUAAGCACCGGCUAACUCUGUGCCAGCAGCCGCGGUAAU